UACGGGGGGGGGCAAGCGUUGUUCGGAAUUACUGGGCGUAAAGAGCUCGUAGGCGGUUUGUCACGUCGGGAGUGAAAACUCGGGGCUUAACCCCGAGCCUGCUUCCGAUACGGGCAGACUAGAGGUAUGCAGGGGAGAACGGAAUUCCUGGUGUAGCGGUGAAAUGCGCAGAUAUCAGGAGGAACACCGGUGGCGAAGGCGGUUCUCUGGGCAUUACCUGACGCUGAGGAGCGAAAGUGUGGGGAGCGAACAGG
rnacentral:rRNA from 1 species